rnacentral:rRNA from 1 species
AUGGCCAUCGCCCCACUUCCUCAAGACCAGACGCUGCUGAUCUGCAUCCAUGCCGCCUCCCGCCGUCGACCGCAAGCCAAGGCACCUCCCCGUGCUCCUCCACCUCACCUCGUCGUCCGGCAACCGGAGCCCAACCCCGGCGUCCGCGUCGCCAUGCCCCCGCCUUGCUCCGCCCUCGUCGAUGAACAGCACCAGCAGGGAGACAAUCGCAGCCGCCCUGGACCUCCACUGAACCGCGAGCAGUCGCCGUCCUCGCCCAGGAACCGGCCAGAUCCCACCUUUCCCGGUCCUCCCCGUCGUCGGGAGCUUGCGCCAAGUCCAUCAUCGUCCUCUGCUCGGGAACGAGCUCGACGCGCCUCUGCUCACCCGCGUGGAACGACUGGCCGCUGGAUCACCCCCGCGCCCGUUCCUAACCAUCUUCGCUCCGUCCGGGCGCCUCCUACCGUCCUUGUCGUCAAGACACUGCUGCAUCUCCAACCCCACCCCGCGCCAUGGCUACAUCUCCCGCAGCAGCCAGUCGCCGCUGCAACCACCAUGGUGCUCGGCCUUGUGCAGCUUCGGGGACAGUGCCGCCGCCUAGAGCUUCUCCGCCGGAGUCCCCUUCAUCUCGUCCGCGUCGCUGGCGCCCCGCCAAGUCCCUCAAGCCGCCGCCAAGCCCCGCAGAUGCGGCCUCCUGCACCGCUGGUGUCCUCUGCAUCGAAGCAGUUGCAGAGGAGGACGAGCGUCUCGAUCCUUGUAUCGCUAGCGCAUUGA